rnacentral:rRNA from 1 species
CAGUCGCCGCGGUAAUACGUAGGUCCCGAGCGUUGUCCGGAUUUAUUGGGCGUAAAGCGAGCGCAGGCGGUUAGAUAAGUCUGAAGUUAAAGGCUGUGGCUUAACCAUAGUACGCUUUGGAAACUGUUUAACUUGAGUGCAAGAGGGGAGAGUGGAAUUCCAUGUGUAGCGGUGAAAUGCGUAGAUAUAUGGAGGAACACCGGUGGCGAAGGCGGCUCUCUGGCUUGUAACUGACGCUGAGGCUCGAAAGCGUGGGGAGCAAACAGGAUUAGAUACCCCGGUAGUCCCUGUCUCUUAUACA